UGUUCUUUAAUGUAUUAUGAAGCUAUAAAUAUAUAUAUUCUGUUCAAUCGAAUUUCAAGAGUUCAAAAUAUUGUUAAAUCUUUAAUUAAUUACUUACGAAUUUUGUGGGAUAAAAUUAGUGUUAAAAUAAAAUUUAAAUGAAUAUGGAAAUAGAUAAGUAAAUUUAUAUUACGAGAAUAACUUGUUGUUGGAUCGGAAUUUCUAGAUUAGUCAAUCUAGUGACUUUUUCUUUCUAGAAGGAUAUUCGAUACAUUGAACUUUGAUUACAUAAUUCGUAAAAUUAAAAUAUUACGUAUCCAGAAAUACAUAUACAAGAUUGUACAGAUUUUGUGCAUAGAAUUGUGCACAUUAUGAAAGAUAUUAUAAUGAAACAAACGAUAACAUUUUGCCAUUCUAAGAUAAGAUAUAAAAUUUUCAAAUGGUGAAAUAUUUUUUUAGAAUUUCGUAACAUUUCGAAAGCAUAAAACAAAACGGAGAGAAAUACACGAGCACGGCAAAGAACAUGAAACUUUCCUUGGGAAUUGCAACGACAUGCACAAGAUUGUAUAAAUUAUCGAUGUACUUUAACCAACGAGUUGUUCUCAACGCAUAGUUUAUAUAAUCCUUAGCAUUACACGAUGAAGAAUAAAUUUCUCCUCCAAUCUAAUCUCGUUUUUUUUUUCUUUUUCUUUUUCUUUUUUUUUUUUUUACACAUCUCGACUUUAAAUAUCAGUAUACACUGCUUGAUAUAAAUAGAUAUGCCCGGUUAGAACAUCGUGUUAAGUAUCCUCUCACCAAAGAAAGACAAAAACGGGUAGGAAAUCACAUGGCAUUAAGAAAAGCCAUUAAGUAGGUUCAGAGAGAAAACCAUUUCUCUUUUGACCCCAUCGAUCUAUUCGAACACGCAAUCUUAAACAUAACCAUGUAUUUAUUUAACUUUCAACGAUAUAACGACGUUUUCAUAGUCACAAAAUAUCUCACUAUUUUUCUAGUAAAUGCCGUUAAAUGUUGAAUUUCAUGUGUUGCAAAAAAUCUAAUUUAAUUAGAAAGAAAGAGAAAAAAGAAGGAAAGGGGAAAAAGUAUAUAUUUUUUUUUUUUUUUUUUUCGUUAUAUUCGUUAUAAUUUAUUCAUCCAUAGUUUUGAUAGAAACUAUAUUCAAACGCUUCCGCUUGGGCAAUCCGGACCUUGCAGUAACAUUUAGCUUCGAACGAAGCGAACUUAUUAUUUAUGCAGAGAACUCGAUAUUACGUUAAGGUUCGAGCUCUCGCUUUUAAUGGCGCUAUUGUUUGAUUCCUUCCAGAUACGUGCCUCCCUUUUUUUCUCUCUCUCUUCUCUCGACUCGUGAUGAACGUGUUCACUUAUCUCUUCCUUCGCGUUAUGUAACACCGAAAGGAAAGAAUGGUGGGUAACUGAAAAAAAAACCGAGAAAGCGAGAGAGAAGAGUGUUUCGAUUCGCCAAACGAUGAACCAUUUCAGGUUGGUCGAGGAGGAUCGAUUCUCAGCAUAACGAGAGAGCAACUUUCUACUCACGGUAUUCGUAUAAAGUUCAGCUCCACGUUUGUAAUUUGCGGUUUGUUGCGCGCGCAGCAAUCAGAUCGGUAACGUGGACCGCUAAACGAUCUUACCCGAGAAGAGCAUCGGCUAUUCUCGUCCUUUCGUUUGCGUGAAAACUGAAAUGGCGGAACGGCUUUCUAAUGUAUCACGUGGAAAGAAAGAAAUUAGAAGAUUAUAGUGAAUUGCGUUCUCUCGUGUUUUUGUUCUCGAAACAAGAAUGGAAAUUAAAAAUUGUGUUCAGUAAAGAAUAUACGUGGGACGUAACGAGCGAUUUAAAACGAUAAAAGAAUAAUUUUUUUCGAGAGGUUAUGUUUGAGAUAAGAUUGUAACAAGUGAUGAAUGUAAAUGAAUGUAAAUGAAAUCAAGCUCGAAUUGUCAAAUUGGAAAAUAUAUAUAUAGAUCCAUGUGUUGGAUAAAACAAUAUUUUAUCCAUGGAUAAAUAAAGCAAAGUUUCAAAAUACUUCGAUUUCAAUCUCUUUGAUCAAUCAUAUACAUUUGCAUCGAUUUAUCAGGAUUUUAUUUUAAAAAAAAUAGAGGAAAAAUGACAGAGAUAGAUGACAAAUUUCUGCGAGGAUUCGAUGAAUGAACAGUGAUAUUAUUCACGUUACCUCGAGCGUGUCUAUAUAAUUUCUCAUUUACACAAUGGUGCACGAGCGAUGCAUUUGCACCGUGUUGCAGCAAAUGCAACUCUACUUUAACAUAUCGAUUCACGUACGUCGAAAGUUUCAGAAGGCCACAGCAAUACGAUUGAACGAGCAAAGCCUCUAAAAGAGACGAGAGAACUUUUACACGAAUUUAAACUUUCCAUCAAGAAUGAAGAGGAUCCCGUCGUUUUGAUGAACAACGAACCGAUCAAAGGUCGAUCCUCGAUCGGUGUUAAUGAAAUUAGCGGGCGAUGGCCGAGGGAUAAGGCGCUGUGCGGAGCGGAAAACGCGCGGAAGAGUCGGCCCAGCCGGAUACCUGAUAUCGGUAUUAACUCGACCAUAAAGCAUUCCGCAGGCCCCGUCCACAAAGUGAUUGCGAUUGCGCCUCGGGCAUUACAACGCGCAGAUUUAUGAACAGGGGUUGCCUACGAACAAAAAUUGGGAAGGAGGUAGGAUAAGGGUUUCAUUUGAAAGAACGAAGGGAGUAAUGAUAUAUGUAUAUGUAGAAGGGAUGUAUGUAGGCGAUGAAGAAUGGUAAUGAAGCGGAUCUAAAGAGGAUCUCAAACGAUUCUGCCGGGAGGAUUCCGAUCCAAAUUGCCAGAAUCCUUCGAGUCUGGAGGGUGUUGGAGACGUUACAAAAUGCGUUCCGCAAUGCAGACACCGCGGAACCUUUGUACAGCUCGAUGCCAGCUGUGCGGAGUGCCAAGUAAAAACUGAAUAUUUGUCGCCUUAAUAUGUCCAAUAAAUAUGCUUCAAAUUGUGAGAAAAGACGCGGCAAAUGAAAAGCAAGGUAUUCGAUUCGUAUCACACUCAAAAUAAUUUUAAUUAAAUAGAUGAAGUGGAUUUUAAUCUCGUCAAUAAUUAUCGUUAUUAAAAUAUUUGCAAUAUCUUACUUAUUCUACAGUCGCCAAAUAAAAGCAAAAAAAUCACUAUACGUUUUCAAAAAUUAAAAUUUAUUCAACCAAUAGAAAAUUAAUAUAUUUCCGAAAAAUCAUAGAAAAAAAUAAAUAUAUAAUACGUAAUUAUAACAAAUAGAAUAUUUAAACCAAAAUAUUUAAUAUCACGGUUUACCUUGCAACAAAUAAACACUUUAUCUAAUUCAAAUAGCAAAAAAAAAAAAUCAACAUUUUCUUUCUAUUUCAAAAUGACAACAACAGGCAAGAAGAGAUUCGAACCAGCAUGAAAAUAGACAAAACUGCAUGCGAAAACUUAUUUUACGAAAUUUUCGAUCAAUCGCGAAAUAAACUGGAAAGAAAAUCGCAACGCAGAUUCGAAAAAAAAAAAACAAAAAUCACGGAAAAGCAGAUUUUCUUCUAUUUCACCGCGAAUAACAGGAAUAUCUGGACAAUUGGUAGCCCCCGCGGGGGUUAAGCCGCGGCUCGCAAUAACCGAUCGGCGCACAAAUACAAUCCCGGCUCUCUCAACCGCCCGUUUCAUUUGCAAAUAUACAUACUUCCGCAUGCUGGCCGGUAAUGGCCGUUCGAAAUUGCUCGAUCUCAAUAAAAUGGCCACGAAACUUCGCGAGCACUGUAUAUAGACCGUGGUGCGCCAAUACCAGCGCGGAGAGGGGACGCGUGUGCACCGAUACAGGUGAGAGCACACGCACACGCGCACGCGAAUAUCUCGUUGCAAUUUUACAGGGACCCGAUCAUCCUAGGGAAUUUAUAUUUCUCGUUAUCUCUCCCGCGUGCACGCGCAUGUGUGCCGCGCAUACAUCGCAGUGUGCUACUCCGUCGAGACAAUUUUCGCGUGGAAAAGUUAACGUUUGCGGCACGCUAACCGAGGAAUAUUUCAUUCUGGAAGAUCGUUCGCUUCGUUUCUGGUGUCUUGACUACCUUUGCUUGGAAGACGAAUAGGGGACUGAGUGUUGUGUCUCUUGGUCGAAACGAAAUUGAGCACAAGAAGAACUGGAUUAUCAAAGAGACAGGGGACGAUUACACACACGCGUGCAAAAAAUCCGGAAAUGUAUCGAAAAGGUGAACGCCAUACGAAGACAAGAAACGAGUAUCUGGUGAAUAUAAUACAUGAAUAUUAAUAAAGCACACACGUUGACUCGACACACGAUUCUGACUUGCUUAUAUUACACUCGGAAGUAACCGGCAAUUAUUCAAAACCAAUGACCACGUUGGGAGAAUCUUUUGAACGACCAACCAUUUAUACGAAAGAAUCCAAAACGUUUUGUACAAUCGAAUAUAAAAGAGAAUUGUAAAUUUUUUCUUUUCUAGUCAAAAAGUUUUCAGUUUUCUUAUGAAAAUUUUGUCUUCUUGUCUUAACAAUUUCUAUCAAACAGGAUAUUCUCCUCUUAUAUACUUUAUUUAAAAAAAAAACAUCGUGACUUUUUAAACUUGGAUUUUAUUACAUAUACGAAGAUUUUA
rnacentral:lncRNA from 1 species